rnacentral:lncRNA from 1 species
GGUUUUGAUCUGUUUAUUAGAUACUUUCAGCUAUAUUUGAUGUAUAUAAGGAUUGUAAGAGGUACAUGUUUGUCUUGCAGGUUUCAUUUGAUUUUACCUUUUUCCUGGUUCAUUGGUUAUUGUUAUUUUUUCUGUUUUAGUCUUUUUCUCAGAUACUUUAAAGAAUAGGACCACCCUAUUUAUUGGAUGGAAUGAUUGUACCAUGUACAUAAAAUUGGGAAUGUAAAUGGGGAAUAUGCUUCAACGCAGUGAGAAAAUCCAGCACCAGAGGUGAACAUGUAUGUCUGGCAGGGUUCAUUUAACCUCAUUUUCAUAGUUCAUUAGUUAAAGUCAAAUUUUCAUGGUUGAGUCUGUUUCUCAGGCACUAUAAGCAUCAGGUCAACUUUAAUUUUCCUGGUAAUGAAUGCAUGGCAUUUAUGUUGGAUGGCAG